AAAAAUACAAAUUGUUUUUGUUUAAUUUGUGGACAAAGUAUGAAAAAUAAAUCCUCUCUUGCAAUCCAGAACUCACUGUUCAAGUAUGAGCUUUGAUACAGAUUAGAAGGAACAUG